AACGUAGGAGACAAACGUUAUCCGGAGUUACUGGGCGUAAAGGGCGUGUAGGUGGUUCUGUAAGUCUGGCGUGAAAUUUCUCGGCUUAACCGAGGCAGGUCGUCGGAUACUGCAGGGCUAGAGGACGGUAGAGGCGUGUGGAAUUCCGGGUGUAGUGGUGAAAUGCGUAGAGAUCCGGAGGAACACCAGUGGCGAAGGCGGCUGGCUGGACCUGACCUGACGCUGAGGCGCGAAGGCGUGGGGAGCGAACGGG
rnacentral:rRNA from 1 species